rnacentral:lncRNA from 1 species
AUGCAAAAUGCAACUCUAAAAACCUCUAGGCAUAUGGAAAACCCAAACUGGGAAUCCCUUGUCACUGAAGUAGGAGGAAAAAUGAUUAUCAUCUCAGACUUUUUUCUACCAUUUAAGUUACUGCAUCUGCAUCACAACACCAGCAAUUCAUAUGGCAUCAUUAUAUAUUGAUUGAAAAAAUGAGUGAAGCAUUAGGAAUAUGGGAAUGAUCUUGGCUCACAGACUAUUCAAACUCCAGAAGGAC